rnacentral:rRNA from 1 species
UACGUAGGGUGCAAGCGUUGUCCGGAAUUAUUGGGCGUAAAGAGCUCGUAGGCGGUCUGUCGCGUCGGCUGUGAAAACCCGGAGCUCAACUCCGGGCCUGCAGUCGAUACGGGCAGACUGGAGUACUGCAGGGGAGACUGGAAUUCCUGGUGUAGCGGUGGAAUGCGCAGAUAUCAGGAGGAACACCGGUGGCGAAGGCGGGUCUCUGGGCAGUAACUGACGCUGAGGAGCGAAAGCGUGGGGAGCAAACAGGAUUAGAUACCCGGGUA